rnacentral:rRNA from 1 species
GAUGAACUCUAGCUACAGGCUUAACACAUGCAAGUCGAGGGGAAACGACAUCGAAAGCUUGCUUUUGAUGGGCGUCGACCGGCGCACGGGUGAGUAACGCGUAUCCAACCUGCCCACCACUUGGGGAUAACCUUGCGAAAGUAAGACUAAUACCCAAUGAUAUCUCUAGAAGACAUCUGAAAGAGAUUAAAGAUUUAUCGGUGAUGGAUGGGGAUGCGUCUGAUUAGCUUGUUGGCGGGGUAACGGCCCACCAAGGCAACGAUCAGUAGGGGUUCUGAGAGGAAGGUCCCCCACAUUGGAACUGAGACACGGUCCAAACUCCUACGGGAGGCAGCAGUGAGGAAUAUUGGUCAAUGGACGAGAGUCUGAACCAGCCAAGUAGCGUGCAGGAAGACGGCCCUAUGGGUUGUAAACUGCUUUUAUAAGGGAAUAAAGUGAGUCUCGUGAGACUUUUUGCAUGUACCUUAUGAAUAAGGACCGGCUAAUUCCGUGCCAGCAGCCGCGGUAAUACGGAAGGUCCGGGCGUUAUCCGGAUUUAUUGGGUUUAAAGGGAGCGUAGGCCGGAGAUUAAGCGUGUUGUGAAAUGUAGAUGCUCAACAUCUGAACUGCAGCGCGAACUGGUUUCCUUGAGUACGCACAAAGUGGGCGGAAUUCGUGGUGUAGCGGUGAAAUGCUUAGAUAUCACGAAGAACUCCGAUUGCGAAGGCAGCUCACUGGAGCGCAACUGACGCUGAAGCUCGAAAGUGCGGGUAUCGAACAGGAUUAGAUACCCUGGUAGUCCGCACGGUAAACGAUAAAUGCCCGCUGUUGGUCUGAAUAGGUCAGCGGCCAAGCGAAAGCAUAA